CUGAUCCCGAGAAACUCUACUCAAAUCUGGUUUCCUGGAUGCGGUCCUGGAGAGUGCAGCAGCGGGAACCGCAACCCUGCGGCCCUGGAACCUCCCAGUUCUGGGUGCUUUCUGAAGACUCUUCCCCAUAUGCAGAGAUCACACUCUUCAGACAGCCUCGGUCACCUGUGUAUCUGAACUAAGAGCCCUGGAUGAUGAAGAGAGGAAACUGUAGCAAAGGAUCCAGAAAUUUAAUGAAGAGCAACAAGAAGAAUGACUGCUUCUCUGGUAAAUGUGUCCAAGUGUCUGCUAACAUUCAGGGAUGUGGCUGUGGAGUUCUCAAUGGAGGAAUGGGAAUGUCUCAACUAUUCCCAGAAGACAUUGUAUAGAGAUGUGAUGAUGGAAAAUUACAACAAUCUACUCUUUGUGGAUUUCAAGAUCUCUGAGAAAGAACUCAUAGGAUGAAACUUAAGUUUAAAGGAUGAAAAACAACUUUGUUUCCUUUGCCAGUUGAAGCAAUGCUGCAAAAGGUGAAAACCAAGGCUGGAGUUAUUAAAUACCUAAACUAC
rnacentral:lncRNA from 1 species